GCCUGGCUGGCUCGAAUGGUAGAGCAUGUGACUCUUAAUCUCAGGGUUAUGAGUUCGAGUCCCAUGUUGGGUA
rnacentral:tRNA from 1 species